UACUCAACAAAGAAUUGAAAAAAAUGAUUCAAGAAACAAUAGGGGGAAAAAUGUGGUAUGUACGUGCCAAUUUUGUGAUGCCAUAACGACAGUAAUUACAGGCAUCACAUUUCAAUUGGGAUGGUAUAGCGAAGCAGCAUGGUGUUCGUCUAACUUAUUGCCCUCCGGACAUUGCCAAAGCAAUUAAUAAUCUAAGCAUUUUGUAUUUGUGCUGAUCUGGAUUGUUUCCC
rnacentral:lncRNA from 1 species